rnacentral:rRNA from 1 species
UACGGGGGGGCAAGCGUUGUUCGGAAUUACUGGGCGUAAAGGGUUCGUAGGUGGCCAACUAAGUCAGACGUGAAAUCCCUCAGCUUAACUGGGGAACUGCGUCUGAGACUGGAUGGCUUGAGUGCAGGAGAGGAACGCGGAAUUCCAGGUGUAGCGGUGAAAUGCGUAGAUAUCUGGAGGAACACCGGUGGCGAAGGCGGCGUCUGGACUGCUACUGACACUGAGGAACGAAAGCCAGGGGGGCAAACGGG